rnacentral:rRNA from 1 species
AGACCGGGUAACCGGGGACACUAACGGGUUCGAUUCCGGAGACGGGAGCCUAGAGAAACCGGCUACCAUAUCCACGGAAGGCAGCAGGCGCGCAAAUUACCCAAUCCCGACACGGGGAGGUAGUGACAAUAAAUAACAAUAUAGGGCCCUUUCGGGUCCUAUAAUUGGAAUGAGUACAAUUUAAAUACCGUUAACGAGGAACAAUAUGGAGGGCAAGUCUGGUGCCAGCAGACGCGGUAAUUCCAGCUACCAAUAGCGUAUA